GGACUUCAAAGUUCAUAGCUGCCUUGUGUUCUUGCUUUGACAGAAAGACAUCCUCUCCCUCAGGCACCUUACCGCUUAACUCACUGCUUUCAACCAUGGCCAUAUGGGUGGCUCAGGACACACCAAUAUCAACUCUGGCAUGGAGCCACACUUCUGAUGGAGGUAUGUCUCAAGAUACUCUCCACUUCUUCGAUCUCUCCUUUGAAUUGGAAGCACCAGAACACUAUUCAGGUUGACCUGGGAUGGCAUAUAUUGAUCAAGUUCUCACUCCUGGCUAUUCAACCUUCAAUAUCAACAAGUGAUCUCUGAGCAAAUAUUUUCUGAUCAGCUCGCCCUGCCCUCAAGGAACUCAUUGGCUAGUGAAGGAACCAAAAUGAACUAGAAAGAAAUUAACUGGCUGGAGAGACAACAUAGCAUAAUGGAAGGAAUGCUGGUUUGGGUGUUAGAAGAUCUGUGUCUAAAUCUUGCUUCACUUUGUCAUGUGACAUUGGGCUAAUCGCAUAAUCUUUCUAGACCUCAAUUUCCUUAUCUGUAAAAUGGAAAUAAUUCUUACAUCCUGUCUCCCAAGAUUGUGGUGAGGAAAGCACUUGGUAAACUCUACAAGUAUAUAUAACUGUGAGCUAUUAUGUGGAAAGACAGCAUUAUACAAUGAAUUGACUUGGGGUCAGGAAAGAGCUGGAUUUGAAUCCUAUCUCUUUCACUUGCUGGCAGUUUAGCCAGGAGUCAGUUACUGAGCUUCAGCAAAAUGAAGAUAUGAUGAUUUUUUUUCUCAUUAAUCUUCAAAUGUUUAUCAAUAACAUUUGAUCUAACUCUGUUUUGAUCACCAGGUUAACUCACCUUGAACCUUUCUUAGAGUAAGAUCCUCCUGAGGCCUUAUCCAUAGCUGUGGAAGUUCUCAUUUGUUUGGCAAUAAAAGCCUUUUCAGGCUUUUCCUGAAUUGAAUUGUCAAUGAGUUCUCUUGGUCACAGUCACAAAGGUCUAUUCACUAUGAUUAAUUGUGAGCUAAUAAUAAAGCCUGUCUUAUU